rnacentral:rRNA from 1 species
ACGCACGCUGGCGGCGUGCUUAACACAUGCAAGUAGAACGGAAAGGCCCUGCUUUUGUGGGGUGCUCGAGUGGCGAACGGGUGAGUAACACGUGAGUAACCUGCCCUUGACUUUGGGAUAACUUCAGGAAACUGGGGCUAAUACCGGAUAGGAGCUCCUGCUGCAUGGUGGGGGUUGGAAAGUUUCGGCGGUUGGGGAUGGACUCGCGGCUUAUCAGCUUGUUGGUGGGGUAGUGGCUUACCAAGGCUUUGACGGGUAGCCGGCCUGAGAGGGUGACCGGCCACAUUGGGACUGAGAUACGGCCCAGACUCCUACGGGAGGCAGCAGUGGGGAAUAUUGCACAAUGGGCGGAAGCCUGAUGCAGCAACGCCGCGUGCGGGAUGACGGCCUUCGGGUUGUAAACCGCUUUCGCCUGUGACGAAGCGUGAGUGACGGUAAUGGGUAAAGAAGCACCGGCUAACUACGUG